GAGGGAUCAAGGAGAAAGAGACUGAGGGAUAAAGAAAGAGACCUGGAAUCCACUUAGAGAAGAGCAGACAAGAAACGAAAGAUCAGAGAGAGUAAAUUAGAGCAAGAAACAGGAAUGAGUGAGAGAUAGGAAAGAGAAGGACUUUAGCAAUACACCAAGAGAGAGUGCAAUACACAGAUGGAGAGAGAGAGAGAACGGUAAAUAAAUAUUGAGAGAGUGCAAUACAC